AGAGUUUGAUCCUGGCUCAGAUUGAACGCUGGCGGCAUGCCUAACACAUGCAAGUCGUACGGUAACAGGCCCUUCGGGGUGCUGACGAGUGGCGAACGGGUGAGUAAUACGUAGGAAUCUGCCCAGUAGUGGGGGAUAACCCGGGGAAACUCGGGCUAAUACCGCAUACGCUCUACGGANGGAAAGCGGGGGACCGAAAGGCCUCGCGCUAUUGGAUGAGCCUACGUCGGAUUAGCUAGUUGGUGAGGUAAUGGCUCACCAAGGCGACGAUCCGUAGCUGGUCUGAGAGGACGAUCAGCCACACUGGGACUGAGACACGGCCCAGACUCCUACGGGAGGCAGCGGUGGGGAAUAUUGGACAAUGGGCGAAAGCCUGAUCCAGCAAUGCCGCGUGUGUGAAGAAGGCCUGCGGGUUGUAAAGCACUUUCAGUGGGGAA
rnacentral:rRNA from 1 species